rnacentral:lncRNA from 1 species
UGCCUCCAGGCAAAAUGAGGCUGUUCUCUAUCAAGGGGAAGGAGGCAGCUACUGCUGGUCAGGAGGAUUCAAGGGUUCUGGGGCCCAAGGUUCUUAGCUUCCUCCACAUCUUUCAAGUGCCAAAGCUACUACAUGAGCCAAGUUUUCUCUUCAACUUCUCUCUCCUUCCAAUCUACCAAAGACUAGCCCUGAGCUAACUACUGCCAAUCCUCCUCUUUUUGCUGAGGAAGACUGGCCCUGAGCUAACAUCCAUGCCCAUCGUCCUCUACUUUAUACGUGGGAUGCCUACCACAGCAUGGCUUAUUGCCAAGCCGUGCCAUGUCCAUACCCGGGAUCCGAACCAGCGAACCACGGGCCGCAGAGAAGUGCAACGGGUGAACUUAACCACUGCGCCACCGGGCUGGCCCUGACAAUUUUUAUACAAAGUA